UGCCAGACUCCUACGGGAGGCAGCAGUAGGGAAUAUUGCUCAAUGGGGGAAACCCUGAUGCAGCGACGCCGCGUGGGCGACGAAGCGCUCCGGCGCGUAAAGCCCUGUCAGCAGGGAAGAACAAAGACAGUACCUGACCAAGAAGCCCCGACUAACUACGUGCCAGCAGCCGCGGUAAUACGUAGGGGGCAAGCGUUAUCCGGAUUCACUGGGCGUAAAGGGAGCGCAGGCGGCACGGCAAGUCUGGUGUGAAAGCCCGGGGCCCAACCCCGGGACUGCAUUGGAAACUGCCGGGCUGGAGUGCCGGAGGGGCAAGCGGAAUUCCUAGUGUAGCGGUGAAAUGCGUAGAUAUUAGGAGGAACACCAGUGGCGAAGGCGGCCUGCUGGACUGCAACUGACGUUGAGGCUCGAAGGCGUGGGGAGCAAACAGGAUUAGAUACCCCUGUA
rnacentral:rRNA from 1 species